UGUGCCGCCUGGGAAGUACGGUCGCAAGGCUAAAACUUAAAGGAAUUGGCGGGGGAGCACCACAAGGGGUGAAGCCUGCGGUUCAAUUGGACUCAACGCCGGAAAACUUACCAGGGGAGACAGCAGUAUGACGGUCAGGUUGACGACCUUACCUAACGAGCUGAGAGGAGGUGCAUGGCCGUCGCCAGUUCGUGCCGUGAGGUGUUCUCUUAAGUGAGAUAACGAACGAGACCCGUGCCACAUGUUGCCACCAGUAUCUAAAGGAUAGCUGAGCACUCUUGUGGGACCGCAGCCGAUAAGGCUGAGGAAGGUACGGGCAACGGCAGGUCAGUAUGCCCCGAAUCUCCCGGGCCACACGCGGGCUGCAAUGGUACAGACAGAGGGCUGCCACCCCGAAAGGGGGAGCCAAUCCCUAAACUGUACCUCAGUUGGGAUCGAGGGUUGCAACCCACCCUCGUGAACAUGGAAUGCCUAGUAACCGCCAGUCAUCAUCUGGCGGUGAAUACGUCCCU
rnacentral:rRNA from 1 species